GCUCGGGGGAUUCCCCGGAGGUUACGAUCACCGUUAACUAUGGACCCAGAGGCACAAAGAUUAAGGCCAGCUGUUGUCAGGGAGGGGUGAAGGCCGGCGAAAGCCUGACCCUCACCUGCGAGACCAACGCCCGUCCUGAGCCCUACGGCUACACCUGGUUCCGCACGAUUACAGAGCCUGGUGGACAGAGGGGUCCAGGAAGGACCGAGGUUCCCGUGCCUUCUAACGGACGGUCUGACGGGCGAGACCUCAAAUGGGAGCACAUCAGUGCAAGCGACGCCGGGGAAUACACGUGCCAGGCCAAGAACAUCAUCAGCGCUCAAAAAUCCACCAUUCUCCGUGUAGCCGUCUUGUGUGAGUGCUGUAUUUAGAGUCCCAGUGCUCUCCGUGUAGACGUCCUGUGUGAGUGCUGUAUUUAGAGUCCCAGUGCUCUCCGUGUAGACGUCCUGUGUGAAUGCUGUAUUUAGAGACCUAGUGCUCUUCGUGUAGACGUCCUGUGUGAGUGCUGUAUUUAGAGUCCCAGUGCAUUGUGAAUACUCAGCCUGUGACUGUUAUCGAUCUGUGAUUUACUGUUGGAGUGUCUGUGAUUCACCGCUAUGGUUUGUGUCCCACAGUCACAGCGAAUGUCUGUGAUUCAUUGUCACCGUAGUUGUCUGUGCUCUCCAAUCACCACUCACCCUCUGCUCUUACUCUUUGACUGUUUUUUCCACAGCAACAGAUAUGAAUGCAGUGCUUUUUACCAUUAGACCUCCAGCCCUGGAAAGCCAGAUUGGCUCAUCAAGUUGUUUCUCAGAAGAGUCACAUCAGGCAGAAAGCACAGUUAUUUUUUGGGAUUUUCUCGAUUAUGUUAAAUUGCCAGGUGGUAGUUCAAUAUAAUGGGUAAAGAACUGGUCUUGCAAACUAAAGGUUGUGGGUUUGAUUCAUGGGCGGGGAACUGCAUUGCACCCUUGAGCAGUGUACUUACUCAACUGCUUCAGUAUUUAUCCAAAUAUAUGAAUAGGUACAACGUAAAAAAGCCAAAGCUGAGUAACUUUCUUUGGAUAAGGAUGUCUGCUAAAUGCUCUCGAACAAAAUAUAUAUAAAAUGAUUUGAAACUUCAUUCCAAAAAUCAAAAUCUAAUGAUUUUUCCACCUUUCCAUUAAUUGUACAACAGAAAAAACCAGUACAAACCAUUUUUUUAGCAUUAUGGGUCUAGCUAUGGCAAUAAGCUGUGUUUCUUCAUAAAUUCCAAGGUAAUUUUGAUCAUUAGUGAGGGAAGAAAUAUGACAAUACUUGGGUUCAUUAGCAAUAGAGAAGCUUGCUACAUUGCCUUUUAAAAAACAAAUAUUUUUCUUCCAGAUCCUCUGAAGAACACCUCAGUGUCUGUCAGUCCCUCUGACUCAGUGUUUGCAGGCAGCUCUGUGACUCUGACCUGCAGCAAUAAUGUCAACCCACCAGUGCAGAACUACACCUGGUAUAAAGUGAGUGGGACAGACAUGAGCAAUGUAGGAACUGGACAGAACCUCACAUUCAAUGUGACUGAGUCCAGUGGCAGUGAACAGUACUACUGUGAAGCACAGAAUGAACAUGGCAAGGAGAACUCAUCAACUGUACAGCUCAAUGUGAUAUACAUGCCUCAGAUCUCUGGCUCUGGGAGCUGCAGCAGAACUGCAGCAGAGAUCAGCUGCUCCUGUGAGAGCCGUGGGAAUCCCUCUCCCAGCAUGGAGUGGCGUGUGUCUGGACUGUGGGUCACUAACUCUACUGACAGAGUCAUCAGGGAGGAGCAGCUGGGGAACACAGGCCUGAGGAGCUCCCUCACCAUGCGCCAAUCACAGGGAGACACGCCCACUCUCCUCUGCGUCAGCACCAACACUCUCGGCUCCUCCAG